CGAUUAAGUUAUAAAGGGCGCACGGCGAAUGCCUUGGCAUCAGGAGCCGAAGAAGGACGUGAUAAGCUGCGAUAAGCUUUGGGUAGCCGCAAAUAGGCAGAGAUCCAAAGAUUUCCGAAUGAGGAAACUCACAUGGGAAACCCCAUGUAUCCUGUAAUGAAUAAAUAGUUGCAGGAAGGUAAACCCAGGGAACUGAAACAUCUAAGUACCUGGAGGAAGAGAAAGAAACAUCGAUUCUCUAAGUAGCGGCGAGCGAAAGGGGAAGAGCCCAAACCAAGAAUUUAUUCUUGGGGUUGAGGACAGAACAUAAAAUGAAUGGUAAUCUUAGUCGAACACAACUGGAAGGUUGGGCCGCAGAGUGUAAAAGCCACGUAAGCGAAAAGAUAAUAUUCUAAGUUCUGAUCCAGAGUACCACGAGACACGUGAAACCUUGUGGGAAGCAGGGAGGACCACCUCCCAAGGCUAAAUACUACCUGAUGACCGAUAGUGAAGCAGUACCGUGAGGGAAAGGUGAAAAGAACCCCGGGAGGGGAGUGAAAUAGAACCUGAAACCGUGUGCCUACAACCGGUCAGAGCACUUUAUAUGUGUGAUGACGUGCUUUUUGUAGAACGAGCCAGCGAGUUACGGUAUGUAGCGAGGUUAAGGACUUAAGGUC
rnacentral:rRNA from 1 species